CCCUAACCUACGAAUAAUCCAGAAUGCAAUAUCAUAAAACACGACAUGAGAGAGCAGCCGCCGCUGGGGGGGGGGUGGGGGCGAGUUGAAAGAGAGCUCUGCUGAUAUCUUGUAGAAGAAUCAUAAUAAACUGCUAAGAAAUAAAUUUUAAAUAUUCACCGAAUAACUACGAAGAAUCACAAUUAUUUCAAAAAAUAUAUAAAAAAUCCUGAGAUUUCCACAAAAUCAUACAAAAAUGAAUGAAAAGAAUAAAUUUUUAGUGAUUAUUUUUAAAAAGGAAAAAUUUUGUACACGACAAAUAAAGAGAAAUUCAUGUACAAUUUUACAUCAUUUCCAAAUUCUGGGAUCACUAUCCCUAGUUUUCGUGGACCAACAUACUGAAAUGAUCCUUUUUCGGAAAAAAAAUGAAAGAUUUAUGUACCCAAAAAAAAUGAAGGAUUUCGGGAGGAAAUGAACGUAUUUUACAAGAUCAACAGAUUUUCAGAGUAAUCCCUCAAACUAUUCACAGAUCUUGUUCCAAACUCAACUAAACAAAUUAAACCCUACCAUUUCCUCCCAUGAAUCAAAUCACCGGCAAACAAACCCCUACCGAGUCCAAAAUAAUCCUCAAAAUCGCCCAAAUCCAACUCACCAGAGCCUCGGAUCUGGUCAGGAAGCAGGCCAAGCUCGCCCGGAAGAACGCCGACCGCCUCCCCGGCCCCCGGCGCGACCACGACCGGCGACCCACGGCGCAGAUCCGAUCACGCGGCAGACACAACGGCUCAGAUUCCAGCGCUCCCUCGAAUCACCCACCCCCUCCACCGGUUCCUCGCCUCUCUCUUGCUCCCCCUCGCGCACGCUUUCUCUUUCUCUCGCCCGCUCUCUUCGAAUCUUCUCCCCCU
rnacentral:lncRNA from 1 species